UACGAAGGGUGCAAGCGUUACUCGGAAUUACUGGGCGUAAAGCGCGCGUAGGUGGUUUGUUAAGUUGGGUGUGAAAGCCCCGGGCUCAACCUGGGAACUGCAUCCAAAACUGGCCAACUAGAGUACAGUAGAGGGUGGUGGAAUUUCCUGUGUAGCGGUGAAAUGCGUAGAUAUAGGAAGGAAAACCAGUGGCGAAGGCGACCACCUGGACUGAUACUGACACUGAGGUGCGAAAGCGUGGGGAGCAAACAGG
rnacentral:rRNA from 1 species